UUGACCUCGGAUCAGGUAGGAAUACCCGCUGAACUUAAGCAUAUCAAUAAGCGGAGGAAAAGAAACCAACAGGGAUUGCCUCAGUAACGGCGAGUGAAGCGGCAACAGCUCAAAUUUGAAAUCUGGCCUUUACGGUCCGAGUUGUAAUUUGUAGAGGAUGUUUUGGGCACCGCUCCGGGUUAAAUUUCUUGGAACAGAAUGUCAAAGAGGGUGAGAGUCCCGUCUUGGCCCGCGGUAGGACCUAUGUAAAACUCCUUCGACGAGUCGACUUGUUUGGGAAUGCAGGUCCAAAUGGGUGGUAAAUUUCAUCUAAAGCUAAAUAUUGGCCAGAGACCGAUAGCGCACAAGUAGAGUGAUCGAAAGAUGAAAAGCACUUUGAAAAGAGAGUUAAACAGUAUGUGAAAUUGUUGAAAGGGAAGCGCUGGCAACCAGACUCGAGCGCGGUGUUCCCCUUGGCUUCUGCCUUGGUUAUUUCACCGUGACCGGGCCAUCAUCAGUUUUGGGGGUUGGUUAAAGAUCUAGGGAAUGUAUCCUCUCUUUCGGGGGAGGACUUAUAGCCCUGGAUGUCAUGCAGCCUCCCGGGACUGAGGAACGCGCUUCGGCGAGGAUGAUGGCGUAAUGGUUGUCAGCGACCCGUCUUGAAACACGGACCAAGGAGUCUAACAUCUAUGCGAGUGUUCGGGUGUCAAACCCUUGCGCGGAAUGAAAGUGAACGGAGGUAGGAAGGCCUGAGCCUGCACUAUCGACCGAUCCUGAUGUCUUCGGAUGGAUUUGAGUAAGAGCAUAGCUGUUGGGACCCGAAAGAUGGUGAACUAUGCGUGAAUAGGGUGAAGCCAGAGGAAACUCUGGUGGAGGCUCGCAGCGGUUCUGACGUGCAAAUCGAUCGUCAAAUUUGCGUAUAGGGGCGAAAGACUAAUCGAACCAUUAGUAAUCACUACUAGGUGGUUAAGAGUCAAGUGUGAAAAGCACUGGCUAGUCGUGGGUCCACGGCAAGGUCGUCAAAUUGCGGGAACACCCUAAAGCCUGAGGUACCGCCGAACCGUCCCGAAAGGGCGACCGGCACCACGGAGAGAUUUCGUGGGUAUGGUAACAAUCCAAAGGAUGGUCCAGGUCAAGUCCUGGGCCGCUGUAAUGGGCAAUCCGCAGCCAAGCCUGUUUCCCCCCGUGGUAUGGGGGGAGAUUGGGUGCAGUUCAUCGACUAGAUGUCGACCGGGUUCCGGGCUUGUUCCCACAAGUCCAGGGCCUCAAGAUAUAGUCAGGCCCCCGGGGAGACCCGGGCGAGGGGAUGAAGUAGGGAGGAUUGGCCCCCGGUACCACGUCCACCAGACGUGACGGUCCUGCCUACCCGAAUCCCUUUGGCCGGUUCCAUUGGACCGGUGA
rnacentral:rRNA from 1 species